GAUGAACGCUAGCGGCAGGCCUAACACAUGCAAGUCGAGGGAGAAGCCCUUCGGGGCAGAAACCGGCGCACGGGUGCGUAACGCGUAUGCAACCUACCUUUCACAGGGGGAUAGCCCGAAGAAAUUUGGAUUAAUACCCCAUAAUAUUAUUGGAUGGCAUCAUUUGAUAAUUAAAAUUACGAUGGUGAAAGAUGGGCAUGCGUCCUAUUAGCUAGUUGGAGUGGUAACGGCACCCCAAGGCUACGAUAGGUAGGGGUCCUGAGAGGGAGAUCCCCCACACUGGUACUGAGACAGGGACCAGACUCCUACGGGAGGCAGCAGUGAGGAAUAUUGGUCAAUGGUCGGAAGACUGAACCAGCCAUGCCGCGUGCAGGAAGAAUGCCUUAUGGGUUGUAAACUGCUUUUAUAUGGGAAGAAUAAGGAGUACGU
rnacentral:rRNA from 1 species